rnacentral:rRNA from 1 species
AUUGAACGCUGGCGGCAUGCCUUACACAUGCAAGUCGAACGGUAACAGGCCGCAAGGUGCUGACGAGUGGCGAACGGGUGAGUAAUGCAUCGGAACGUGCCCAGUCGUGGGGGAUAACGCAGCGAAAGCUGCGCUAAUACCGCAUACGAUCUGUGGAUGAAAGCGGGGGACCGUAAGGCCUCGCGCGAUUGGAGCGGCCGAUGUCAGGUUAGGUAGUUGGUGGGGUAAAGGCUCACCAAGCCGACGAUCUGUAGCUGGUCUGAGAGGACGACCAGCCACACUGGGACUGAGACACGGCCCAGACUCCUACGGGAGGCAGCAGUGGGGAAUUUUGGACAAUGGGCGCAAGCCUGAUCCAGCAAUGCCGCGUGCAGGAAGAAGGCCUUCGGGUUGUAAACUGCUUUUGUACGGAACGAAAAGGCUCUGGUUAAUACCUGGGGCUCAUGACGGUACCGUAAGAAUAAGCACCGGCUAACUACGUGCCAGCAGCCGCCGUAACAC